rnacentral:rRNA from 1 species
GACGAACGCUGGCGGCGUGCUUAACACAUGCAAGUCGAACGGAAAGGCCCUGCUUUUGUGCUGUUCUCGAGUGGCGAACGGGUGAGUAACACGUGAGUACCCUGCCCUUGACUUUGGGAUACCUUCAGGAAACUGGGGCUAUUACCCGAUAGAAGCUCCUGCUACAUGGUGGGGGUUGGAAACUUUCGGCGGUUGGGUAUGGACGCGCGGCUUAUCCUCGUUGUUGUGGGGUAGUGGCUUCCCAAGGCUUUGACGGGUAGGCUGCCUGAGAGGGGGAACGCGGACAUUGGGACUGAGGGAGGCACCAGACGGGAACGGGAGGCAGUGGGGGGGAAUAUGGCCCAGUGGGGGCAAGUGUGAUGAAGCAACCCUGGGUUCGGGAUGACGGCCUUCGGGUUGAGAACCGCUUUCGCCUGUGACGAAGCGUGAGUGACGGUACUGGGUAAAGAAGCACCGGCUAACUACGUG